rnacentral:lncRNA from 10 species
CUGCCCUUUCCAGCUCCAGAUCCGGAACUCCCCUCGGCUACACCUUUCCCCGGGCUCUUCCCUCCGCUCCUCCCCGUGGCCCCCUCCCCUCUGGCGGCCACCGCAGAGCUCCGACUGACCCGUGUGCCUCGCUCUGCCAGGCUGCCUUCCUCUCUACCUGCCCCCUUCCAGAUCCGCAGUCCCCUGCUCUCCACGCGAGCCCCCUUCACAGUCCCUGCUACCUUGUAACUAACUUGCACUUUUCCCGAGUCCGGUUCUUAGCCUUUGCCCUGCAGCUCAGCUCCUUAAAGCUUUCAGAUCCCCAAACUUUUAUUGUAAUUAUGGACAAUAACUCCGUCCUUAACGCCUGUGCCCUCCGGGAUCCCGUGGCCCGCCGCCCCCUCCGUUGGACCUGGAGUCGCUCUCGUCUGCACCUCUCCCUUAGACCCACUUCCCUGAGCCCCUUGUCGAGAGGCUUUCAGGAAGCCAACCAGGAAGUGGGACUACCGCUGCUGCUGCAGCAGCUCCACGUGGCUGAUUUAUAGCUGAAGGGUUUUUUUUUUUCCUUCUUAUUGAUUGUUCUUGCUUUUUCACACGGCUCCUUAAGGUGGUGAAUUUGUAACCGAAAGGCCCAGGUGAGAUGUGCAAAUAUCACUGGAUUGGAGGAGCUCACUUGGAAAGCCAGUAUUCCUCCUGAGCUAAUGAAAAGAAAGGCUGUCGUCUUAUGCCAAAAGCAAUACCAACCUUGUUCACGGGCUGGUCAUCAAGACCAUGGCUUCCAUCGUAGGCAGUCACACUCUUUCUCUCUUGGAUCAUUUGCUGUGGGGAAGCAAACUGUCAUAUGAGAGGACACUCAAACAGCCUCUGGAGUCUCAUUUGCUAAGGAACUGAGGACUCCAGCCUGAGAACUCAGGCAAGUAACUGAGGCCUGCCAACAACCAUGGAGAAAGCCUGGAAGUGGAUCCUCCCUCAGCCUUCAGUCGAGACAACAGCUGCAAUGACAGCCAAGCCAGCGCCACCCAGCUUAGCCACCCCCAGAGAACUAACUCUCAGAAACCAUGUAAGAUAAUACAUGUUUGUUGUUUUAAGCUGCUAAGUUUUGGGGUAAUUUAUUAUACAAUAGAUAAUUAAAACACAUAGCAUAUAAAUAAAAUCAAUAAAACCAGUAUGGGUCAGUAAUGAGUAAAUUAGAUAAUUAGACAAAUUUUGACAUUUCUGUUUCUAUGUUAAUUAUUUUUCUUCAGAAAAAUUCUCUACGGGUAAAAUAUGUUAAGAGUGGUUACCAACGGACAUUUUAAAAUUAAUAAUCAGUUUGGGAGGCCAAGGCGGUUGGAUUGCUUUAACUCAGGAGUUUGAGGCCAACCUGGGCAACAUGACAAAACCCUGUCUCUACAAAAAAUACAAAAAUUAGCCAGGCAUGGUCGUGUGUGCCUGUAGUCCCAGCUACUUGGGAAGCUGAGGUGGGAGGAUCAAUUGAGCCUGGGAGGCCAGGCUGCAGUGAGUCAAAAUCAUACCAUCUCAAUCCAGCCUGAGCAACAGAGUGAGACCCUAUCUAAAAUAUAUACAUGUAUAUUAACAAUUAUCUCUUGAAACUAAAGUAUAAUCACAGUACUAGUGUACUAUUUUCCAUUUUAUUAAAUGCACUAAACAGUAUUGCAAUGUGUUUGUGUUUAUUAAAAAAUAUUUUGGAAAUCUUUGGGAGAAAAGCUACUUCAAAUUAGUCUGAAAACUAUCAUUUCCUUCUAGCAAUGUGUAAUAAUGUAAUGACUGCUUAGAAUUUCCUGAGAGGGACUGUAACAUAUAUUUUAAGCAUAAUAUUGUAAACAAACAAGUUCUUUUGCAGUACUUGAAGAUCUUUUUUUGUGACUAUCCCCCUUAUAUAUUAUGAAGAUACAUUUUUUGUGACUAUCCUCUUUAUAUGUAUUGUGAAGAUAAGGUUUUUUAUAGUGAAUAUCCUCCUAAUGCUACUAGUAUUGUUUGCAAUCUGUCAUUAUUCUUAGUGUAAAAUUAAACUUCAACAGAGUACCUGUGUGAACUCUUAACAAUUUUUGAAUUAGUGAAGCCCCAAAUUAAUGAUGCUUUACUAGAUAUAAGGGAACUGGAAAGGCUGAAAUCUCAAGGUAGAGUCAAGGCAGUAAUUCCUAGCAGCCUGUGUUUCUCGGUGUUCUUCAUGCUUCACAGAGGUUGGAAUUCAGCUUCUGGUUUAAGUUGUCUUAAUCUUGACCACAGUGGUAAUUUUACUUUCCCACUCUUUUUUCCUCAACUAGAAUGACUCGGAGAGUUGAGCUAACAGAGGUAGAAUAUUGAUUCGUGAGAUAGGUUCUUAGAGAUAUAAGUGUGCGCAUGGAAGAAGGAGGAAUGGCGUGGAAGAGCAGGUGGAGACGGCCACAGCAGGGCUUAGAAAUUCCCUCUAUCCAAAGCCUGGUUGUGAGGAAUUUGAUAGAAAGGAUUGUGUGGGCUAAGACAUCAGUUUUUAUGGUAAUAUUUGAGGGAGAAAAUUGAGAUCUUGGAAUGCAUUUGAAAAAAAGAUUAGUUUUAAUACAAUUAUCACUUUACCUGAGACCACAUCUCAAAAUCAAAAUCAGUGAUAAUGUCUUUGCAUUAAUGUUGGAAAGACUUAUGCUACUUCUGCAUAAUUUUCUGGUAAAUUAUGUAAUGAGUGGUCAGUAUAAUAGCAUGGUUAUUGUGAAGGGUAAGAUAGUAUGUCAUUUUUUUCCCUCUUAACAUGUAAAGGCUAUUUUCCAUAUUAUACAUACAUUAAUAUUUAUAUGUGAA